rnacentral:rRNA from 1 species
UACGUAGGUGGCAAGCGUUGUCCGGAUUUACUGGGCGUAAAGGGCGCGUAGGCGGCGUGACAAGUCACUUGUGAAAUCUCCGGGCUUAACUCGGAACGGUCAAGUGAUACUGUCGUGCUAGAGUACAGAAGGGGCAACUGGAAUUCUCGGUGUAGCGGUAGAAAUGCGUAGAUAUCGAAGAGGAACACCUGCGGCGAAGGCGGGUUGCUGGGCUGAUACUGACGCUGGAGGCGCGGAAAGCUAGGGGAGCGAACGGG